CCAGUAGUCAUAUGCUUGUCUCAAAGAUUAAGCCAUGCAUGUCUCAGUACAAGCCAAAUUAAGGUGAAACCGCGAAAGGCUCAUUAAAUCAGUUAUGGUUCCUUAGAUCGUACCCACAUUUACUUGGAUAACUGUGGUAAUUCUAGAGCUAAUACAUGCAAACAGAGCUCCGACCGGAGACGGAAGGAGCGCUUUUAUUAGAUCAAAACCAAUCGGUGGCGGGUCUCCCGUCACCGUACACGUUGGUGACUCUGAAUAACUUAUUGCUGAUCGCACGGUCUCGCACCGGCGACGCAUCUUUCAAAUGUCUGCCUUAUCAACUGUCGAUGGUAGGUUCUGCGCCUACCAUGGUUGUAACGGGUAACGGGGAAUCAGGGUUCGAUUCCGGAGAGGGAGCCUGAGAAACGGCUACCACAUCCAAGGAAGGCAGCAGGCGCGCAAAUUACCCACUCCCGGCACGGGGAGGUAGUGACGAAAAAUAACGAUACGGGACUCAUCCGAGGCCCCGUAAUCGGAAUGAGUACACUCUAAAUCCUUUAACGAGGAUCAAUUGGAGGGCAAGUCUGGUGCCAGCAGCCGCGGUAAUUCCAGCUCCAAUAGCGUAUAUUAAAGUUGUUGCGGUUAAAAAGCUCGUAGUCGAAUUUGUGUCCCGCGCCGCCGGUUCAUCGCUCGCGGUGUCAACUGGCGUGUCCGCGGGACGUCCUGCCGGUGGGCUUAGCCCCCCGUGGGCGGCCCAAUCUCAAUCCCACCGCGGUGCUCUUCAUUGAGUGUCGAGGUGGGCCGGCACGUUUACUUUGAACAAAUUAGAGUGCUUAAAGCAGGCUAAAACAUCGCCUGAAUACUGUGUGCAUGGAAUAAUGGAAUAGGACCUCGGUUCUAUUUUGUUGGUUUUCGGAACCCCGAGGUAAUGAUUAAUAGGAACGGAUGGGGGCAUUCGUAUUGCGACGUUAGAG
rnacentral:rRNA from 1 species